UACGGAGGGAGCGAGCGUUAUCCGGAUUUAUUGGGUGUAAAGGGAGCGUAGGCGGCUUAGUAAGUCAGAAGUGAAAGCCCGCAGCUCAACUGCGGGACUGCUUUUGAAACUGCCAGGCUAGAGUGUCGGAGAGGUAAGUGGAAUUCCUAGUGUAGCGGUGAAAUGCGUAGAUAUUAGGAAGAACACCGGUGGCGAAGGCGGCUUUCUGGACAGAAACUGACAUUGAGACACGAAAGUGUGGGGAGCAAACAGG
rnacentral:rRNA from 1 species